UGGUCGAACCAGGCCUCCCACGGAUCAAGCCUCUCCACCGUUCAUUCUUACUCGAUCCAACGGUCCCUACUUCUUCUACUAUCUAUUUGUGCUUUCGUUGGUACCUUAUCCUCUCACACGAACACGAGCACCAUACCAGCAGCAGACGCACUCGAGUACCUUCUAGGCUCUCCGUUGCCGGUUGCGUGACGUGCCGUCGCCCGCGCCUCCCACCGCAGCACGCCGGCCGAGCGCCCAUGGCGUCACCCGAGGACACCUUCCACCCGCCAUUCUCCUUCAAAUUCGUCGGGAUCCGGCCUGAUCCGGAUGGAUCCGGAUGCCGACGGCCCAUUCCCGACCUCCCUGCCUUGCCUGGUUCGUCGGCCUCUCCGAUGUCGUCAUCUUCGUCACGGGAUCCAGCGCUACCGAUGGCUGGCCUCCUCCUCGCCUGGAUGUGACCCCCCCCACGUCGGAGCCUCCAACAUGAGCAGCAGCAGCGAACGCCUCGACAAGGGCGUCUUCGGUGUUGUCUUUAUUUUAAUUUUAUUUUAAAGAAGUUUGCCAGAUCAGUGGCCAGGGAAAAGCCAUGGCGAUGAAGUCUGAUUGAUGUCUCGCGAGCGCUCGGUGGCGCUUGAUGUGGUGGAUGCAGAAUAGUAUAGCUCAGAGUAGUAGGCCAGAUCUGAAAAAAAAUUAUCUGUACUUACAUUUUUGCUGUGUAUUUCUUCAUUUUUUGAUAAAGUUAUGUAUAUGGUAUAUAUAUAUAUAUAUAUAUAUAUAUAUGUGCAAACUCCUUUUUUCUAUAAGGCAAUGAGCAUAUUUAAUCAGAAUUUUUUUAUUGA